AUGUCAAGCGACGGCGACGUGCCCAUGGCCGACGCCGACGCCGGCAAGGUCCUCGACGCCAUCGCCACAAGCACCCACGCCUCCGACGCGCAGCACCACCCUACUACCGAGAGCGCCCUGGCCUCCGACGCGCAGCAGCACAUUGCCACCGAGAGCGCCCUGCUGGCCUCUGAGGCGCAGCAGCACCCGGCCGCCGGGAGCGCCCUGGCCGCCGCCGCCACCGCGCCAGCCAAGGAAGCGGCGCCGCCCGAGCCCGACAGCCACUUCCUGGACCUGCGCGGGGAUGACGCCGCGGGGAGUUUCCUGGACUGUGAGGAUCUGGAGGAGCAGAAUCAGAGGCUCAGGGCUGAACUGGACGCCACGACGAAAGAGCUCGAGUGGAAGAUGGACAAGAUUGCAGAAUUGCAGGAGCUGGAGAAGGUAGGCUCAUGCCAUUUUUCACCUGAGCUCUAA
rnacentral:rRNA from 1 species